AAAAUCCAUAAAUUAUAUAUAUCAAACACCAAAAUUUACAUCAUACAUGACAAUAAUCAUGGCUAGACGAAGAAUAAAUGAAAUUUUCAAUCUCGGAAAUUCAGUAAAAUCAAAAAUCAACAGGGAAUAAUAUUUUCAAAACAGUGAACGCCGUCGAAUUCCAGCGCGAACCUCUGCCUCUUCUGCUGCUGCUGCUGCCGCGAAGACGGCGGCGGUGAUGCCUCUCCGGCCUUCUUCAGAACACCAGUUGAAGAAGUAGCGGCGGUCUUUUGAUCUGAUACAAUAGUUCCAACCCCUUGUUGUUCUGAAGAAGGCUUAGAAAAACUCAAUUUCUGCCCAAAAAGUUCAGCAGAAAGCGCAUCAAAGGAACUGAAAAUUGACAUCAUCAUCGUUUCUUCUAACUUGCAAAUAACAAGAAAAUUAAGAAAGUAUUGCUUUGUUGGAUAUGAGAAGUGUGUUUAUGUUGAAUUAAAUUAAAACUCGAGUUGUCCG
rnacentral:misc_RNA from 1 species